UAAUAGCGCUAUUGCUGUUAAAUGCAAUAGUUAACGCUGUUAAACUGUUAAACACAAAAAAAGGAGAAGAUGUGAAGAGAGAUCUGAAUCUUAUAAGCAAAGCUCCUUACCUUUGUCUUUUUGAGACAAGCUGCCUUUUGUCUGGUGUCAUUGAUGCUGGACAAAUCUCCGUCACUUCUCUGGGGCCAAUAGUGCACCGUUUCCAUAUUCUUCCCAGUGCAUCACUUAGAUUGAUGGUGGCAAAGUGGAGUUUUCAAAUUAGACUGUCAAAUUACUCUAGUUGGCUAGCUUGUUGCUGUUGUUGAGUUGCUAAGUCAUGUCAGACUGUUUUGCGACCCCAUGGAUAGCAACCCCCCAGGCUCCUCUGUCCAUGCGAUUCCCAGGCCAGAACACUGGAGUGGCUUGCCAGUUCCUCCUCCAGGGGAUCUUCCCCAUCCAGCAACUGAACCCUCAUCUCCUGCAUUGGCAAGCGAAUUCUUUGCUGCUGAGCCACCAGGGUCUCAUUUAUUUCAGCAAAACGGAGUUUGUAACAUCAGAGGCUGAUGUCACAAAGUUAAUGAAGUGAGUCUGAAACACCGGGAGAUGGAUGUACUGGAGAUACCGUAUCUGGAAAGGUCACUUGGCAACCCUGUAGCGGCGUGGAGGCACAGAUUCAGCUUUCGUGCCUGCUGUCUGAGCCCUUUGGCCAGGCCUCAAGGGGGCUUCCCUGGUGGCUCAGUGGUAAAGAAUCUGCCUGCCGAUGCAAGAGACACAAGAAAUGUGGGUUCAGUCCCUGGAUUGGGAAGAUCCCCUGGAGGAAAUAGCAACCCACUCCAGUAUUCUUGCAAAAUCCCAUGGACCGAGGAGCCUGCUGGGCUACAGUCCACAGGGUCACAAAGAGUCAGAAAUGGCUUAGCAACUAAACAACAGCAACAAAUCCUGAGGGCUUGGGGGUUAUUUGGUCUCUUGGAGAUGAGCUGACUGCAGUACAGAGAGCUUACAUGUUCAGCUGAGCAACAGACGUCAGACCUGAAAUCAAGACACACCAUGUUACAGAUGGAAGAUUUCAAGUGCCC
ensembl:lncRNA